AACGAACGUUAGCGGCGCGCCUAAUACAUGCAAGUCGAGCGAGAAAGGGAUUCGUCCCCAGUAAAGCGGCGCACGGGUGAGUAACACGUAGGUAAUAUGCCCUCGGGUGGUGGAUAACAUUCCGAAAGGAGUGCUAAUACAGCAUGACACCGCAAGGUCAAAGCGGGCCUCUCUUUCGAAGCUCGUGCCUGAGGAUUAGCCUGCGGCCCAUCAGCUAGUUGGUAGUGUAACGGACUACCAAGGCUAAGACGGGUAGCUGGUCUGUGAGGAUGAACAGCCACACUGGAACUGAGACACGGUACAGACUCCUACGGGAGGCAGCAGUAGGGAAUCUUGCGCAAUGGGCGAAAGCCUGACGCAGCGACGCCGCGUGAGUGAUGAAGGCCUUCGGGUUGUAAAGCUCUGUGGGGAGAGAAGAGUAAGUGCAAGCUAAUACUUUGCAUGAUGACGGUAUCUCCUUAGCAAGCACCGGCUAACUCUGUGCCAGCAGCCGCAGUAAUAC
rnacentral:rRNA from 1 species